rnacentral:misc_RNA from 1 species
GGGAAGUGCCCUGGUUGAAAAUGUGCAUUUCGGUGGAAAUGGAGUCGUUCAAACUGGUCUUCCCGAAGAGUUAGAGGUGUGAACUCGGAUGCGCCACAGAAGGCAUCAUUGAGGGUUAGUCUGACAUCAACUGCAUGAGGUUGGAAAACGGUGUAAAAAGGACAAAAAGAUAGAGAGCAUCUGCUGGAGGAGUCUAUGGUAAGUUGCUCGACUUACAAAGUUUCCUUUUCGACACAGAUCUGCAAGCAAGGGGGGCUGUUAAGGGAAGAUGGCGAUAAGAUCAUCAUGUCAAGCAAUGAUAAGGGCAGCAA